rnacentral:rRNA from 1 species
UACGUAGGGUGCAAGCGUUGUCCGGAAUUAUUGGGCGUAAAGAGCUCGUAGGCGGUCUGUCGCGUCGGCUGUGAAAUCCCGAGGCUCAACCUCGGGUCUGCAGUCGAUACGGGCAAACUAGAGUAUUGCAGGGGAGACUGGAAUUCCUGGUGUAGCGGUGAAAUGCGCAGAUAUCAGGAAGAACACCCGUGGCGAAGGCGGUUCUCUGGGACGGUACUGACGCUGAGACGCGAAAGCGUGGGGAGCAAACAGG